UGACCAUUUUCACCUGGGUGUUGUCAAAACCGUAGCUUUUAAAUAAGCCAAGGACGGAGUCAGGCUGGUGGCGGGAUUCGAUGCGGCCAAGGAGCUUCGAGGCCUUGGCCGCCUCAUCCGGAUCGAAGCCACAGGAGCUGACCAGGUAUUCAGCCAUGAAGCUGCUCUGUGGAGCACCGGAGGCGGCGGAAUAAGAAUGGGUUGAGAGAAAAACGGCAGCAUCGGCCGGACGACGGCGAGGGAUGAAGGUGAGGGCUUUGAACAAGAGAGAGACGAACGGCGACCUAUUCAUCAACGUCAUCGUCGUCUACUUCUCCUUCUUUGUAUGUUCCUUCUCUUCUCCAAGACCUAGCGAUGGUGGUGUUGCUGCGUCGGGAGGAAACUGGCCGGAAAUACCUGCAUCCGAAACCCUAGUAGUGCGCCACUGUAUCCGAGGAACUCUUUUGUUCGGUCGGAGAUUUCUGCGACCGCAGGCCUCUUUUUUCCUUCGUUAGCUUUUACUGUGUGCCAACUACAAAUAGUAGAUGAAUGAACACUCGUCUUCACUUUCUCUUCGGUCGGAGAUUUCUGCGACCGCAGACCUCCAUUUUUUUUUUGUUUUUCUUCGGCAACUUUAAUCGUGUGCAUCUUCAAAAAUAAAUGAAUGAACACUAGCGAAGUCAACUCUUUUCUUCCAUUCGAGAUUUCUACGAACACAAACAUCUUUUCCUUCGUCAACUUUUAUCGAUUGAUAACUAAAAAUGAUAAAUGAAUGAACACUAGUAAAGUUCACUCUUUUCUUCAAUCGAGGAUUUCUGCAAGCCACUUUUUCUUUGUCAAUUUUUAUUUAGUGCCAACUAAAAAUAAUAGUAAAUGAAUGAGCACUAAUAAAGCCAUAAUCCUCAUAAAAAUCGAUGGGUUAAUAAUUAUGCUACCUAAAUUAUAAAAUUAAAUCAACUAUAGUAUUUUCAUUUAAGGGUAUCUUCUCAAAAUAAUCACUCAUUAUUAAUUUUUUAAUCAUAAAAUACUAAUUAUUAAAUUUUUAUGGAAUGAUAUCCUUAUAUUCGCUUUUGUUUAUGGCACUUAUUUUAUUUUCUAAGUCAAUCAUAAUGCGUGAAUCAAUUCUUUUAAAAAUGAACUAAUCCAAUCUACAUAAUCCUACUUAACCUAGUUUAGUUUAAUAGAACCUUAAUUUAUCUCUUAUUCUCCAUUAAGUAAUCUCAUGUAACGUGAUCUCCAAUAAAAUGAGAGAUUUUUCAUCAUUGAUUAUUCACUGGUCACCAAAAUUAAUUUGUUGGAAUCUUCGUUCCUGUAAACGAGCAAUGUGGUAUGGGUAGGCUUUGUGUUGCAUUGGUCAAAUCCUCUACUGUAUUGAUAAAGCAUUCGUAAAAAAACUUUUCCACUAUAUUCACGAAAUAUUCAUGCAAGGCUUCGCUAUUGUGUUGCCUAAGAAUUCAUGGAACGCAUUGUGGAAGCCUUCAAUGCAUCACUAAAGACCUCUUUGUUGCUUUGCCAAAACAUUUAUAGUACGAUUCUAAUUCCCAUAGUCUAGAUUCCUAACGUGGUUAUCGUGAAACUUGUCUUCUCUAUAAUGAGUUGCUCGUUAGUCGAGGAAAAGUGGUGAGAAGCAUCGUUAGUUUAAAAUUUGCCAAAGCUAUGGUUUGUAGUGUUGUUUGGAUUUUUUAUUGACUUAAAAUAUUAUUCUCAAAUUAUUUAAAGGUUAAAAUAUUAGUCUUAUAAAGCUUUUUUUAAGAUGAGAAUUGAGUGGUUUUAUAGAGCACUUAUGGUACUUUUGUCUUUUCAAGUACCAUAACUUGAAAACUUUUGUCUUUUCAAGUAGUGAUAUACUUCCACACAAUUUCAAACUUUAAAUAUUGAAUUGGGAAGUAAAUCAAGUUAGGAUCUACUUUCUCAUAACUUUAAACUUUAAUCUAUAUUUUAGGAAGCAAUCAUGAGAUACAUGAUUAGAUUAGAGGAUCUAUUUUCGCAUAAAUCUAAAUGUGUAACUUUGAUCUGAAUGAGACAUUUGUAAUAGAUGAGAAUGAAAGUAGUUAUAAGAUAUUUGAAGCAUUUUGAACUAUUAUUAAUAUUAAAGUAGUUAUCUAUACAAGUUUUUAGCAAAUAUGACAUAAUAUUAUAAAGCAUUUUGAACUAUUAUUAAUAUUAAAUAUGAAGUUAACAUUGCACAAUUGAUCUUACAAUCCUUAUUAUAAUCAUGUUUUAGUUCAAUUAUGAAAGUGGACUUUAGUUGAAUUAGAAUCAUGUUUUAGUUAAGUUAUCAUUCAAGUAAGACAUCACAAUCCUACCCCAAUAAUGUGCCAAAUUUUUUUAAUAUCUUAAGAUCCUAAAAAAAUGAUGUUAAUCAUCUUAUGCUUAUAGCCAAAUAGUUUAAUAAAAGUUUGAACUAGUUUAGUGGAAGCUGUCCAAGUCAUAGUCAAAAUUUAAUGAAGUUACACUUGAUCACUAUAUAUUUUCAAAAAAAAUAAUUUUGAUAAUUAAUUAUCUCUAACAAUAGAAAAAAUAUAGUAUUAAUCAUCUUAGAAUCAUGUCCUAGGUUUUGUGAAAGUUUAGGUUGGUUUGUUAAGUUACAUUCAAGAUUGAACUAAGUUAUAUCUGAUUAGAGCAGGUAUUAAAAAAACCUCUAAUUUAAAUAAUUAAAUAUCAUAAAAAUUUUAAAUAUAAAAAAUGAUACUAAAAUUUUUAUAUUUAAUUAUUUAAAAUAUAAAAAAAUUUAAAUAAUUAAAUUACCUAUUGGUUGAAGUUGACCCAACAUUUAUAUAUGAUAUAAAUACUUUUCAAAUAUCACUUUUACAUAAAAGAAAUAUUUAGCAAAUUUCGUAUGUAGUACACAUCAUAGUAGCAACACAGCAAAACAUAUCAUUCAACUUUCAGGACAAUGACAUAUAAUUAUAUAUAAUAGGAACAACGUACAGUAGUGACACAUCAAACACAUAUCAUUCAAUUUUCACGAUAUACAUACAUACAUACAUACAUACAUAGUGAAACAUAUGUGCAUAUUUUAGUAAACAUCAUAGUACUCGCACACCAAAGCUAUAUAAUCCAACUUUCACAACAAUGACAUAUAAUUAUAUACCAUAUGAACAAUGACAUACAAUUAUAAAUGAUAUGAGCAUGCGCUACACACACCAAAUACAAGUAAAAUGACAUUCACAUUAGUAUUCUAUUACAUGUUUGACAUACUACCAAUUAUGGUAGUAGAUGUCAAAACAACAUAUCUCAUAUCUAAUGAGUAAAAAUAUCACAUUAUCACAAUCAAUUAAUGAGUAAAAUUUCUUAUCAUUUGAAAAAUCAACCGAACUUAAAACCUAAAUUACCAAAUAUCCAUAAUCAAAUCAAUUAAAAAAAUUCAGGUGUACAACAACCUGCAUAAGUCUGAUAUCUUCUGGUAGACUUAUGAAGAACAGGACAAGAAUAGUAAUUCCAUGCAGUGUCUACAAAAGAAUUAAGCAAUUAACCCUAUUGACAAUAUCAUGGCAAAUCUUCUCAUCAUUCUUCAUUUUUUUUACUACUUGUAUGCAUACAAGUUCAUCUUAAAUUCACCAAAAAAAAGUAAAUGACAGGAAUCACACUGCAUGGUUGCAAACUGCAGAUCAAGUUAAGCAGACAGUGAAAAAUUGGAACCUGGAAACACAACUUGCUGGUACAAAACCUUACACCAUGCAUUAUGCACUUACAGGAUCAAAGAGUAGGUCUGUUUUUCAUACAAUUCAAUGAGUUCUGGCACUCGUAGCAGAUGAUGAUCUUCCUCCAGAAAUUUCUUCUCUGGAUAUUUCAUGUAUGUGUAUAUUUGGAGGUCACCGAUGCAAAUUCUCCUGGACUUGAUGCCCAACAACAUCCAAUACAUUGGAACCAACCUUUUCUCCAAACUCAUCAACAAAAAUCACUGACCGAGGUACAAGAUAAGAUGGAGCAUAUUUGGCUUCAUUUACCAAGAACUCCAUGUUCUUCUCUUUAAAGAACCUGCCAUAAGUGUAAGAGCCUUUUUGAAUACAAGCAGCAAAUCAUCUAACCACCCGAAGCUCUUAAAGAACUCCAAGUGAGCGUUGAAAAUUUUCUUGCUGAUUGUCUGGAGCACCCUUAGAGCUCGAUGGAACAUCCCUGGGGUAUAGGCUAUUCCCAAACUCUCGACAUGACUAAUUAACACCUUCAGAGUUUCAGCCUUCUAGAAUAUCAGGCGAGGGUAGUGCCAUAGGAUCUCACAAUCCCUUAGAUCUAAAUGUUAGGCUGGAUCCUCUUCUCGAUGCUAUACCCGAGAAACUAGCGAUCUUUCUUGUAUAACUUCACCAAAAAUUCAUUGGACCUGAAGAGGCCUUACCGUAACUGGAUCUUGGACACGAUAGCCUGGAAUUUUUGGUUGAUGACGAUAGGAUUUGAUUUGACGAGAUGGGUGAUGUUGGAGUAGGAGAAGCCCAAAUCUUACAAAGCUCCAAAUUUUGAGGCUAGAGUCCUCUCCACGUCAAGGAGAAGCCACUAGUGGUUUAAAGAUAUGACCCUUUUCAUUUGAGCAUUAUCAAAACCAUAGCUUUUGAAGAAGCCAAGGAUAGAGUAAGGCUAAUGGCGGGAUUCGAUGCGGCAAAGGAGCUUCGAGGCCUUGGCCGUCUCAUCCAGAACGAAGUCACAGGAGCCAACUAGGUAUUCAACCAUGAGGUUGCUCUGUGGAGCCCCGAAAGUGGCGAAGUAAGAAUUGAUUGAAAGAAAAAAAGCAACGGUCAAACAACAACGAGGGAUGAAGGUAAAGGCAAGAGAGAAAAGUAAUACAACCUAUUGAUCAAUGUCAUCGUCUUUUUCUUCUUUUUUGUAUGUUCCUUCGCCAAAACCUAGCAAAGGUGGUAUUGCCAUAUCCUAGAAGAGCACGUUUGGGUCAAAAGUACUUGUAACCUAACUCUUGGAAGUUCGUUACAGUGUUCAAGGAAAUUAUUUUUUUAUCGAUCAAAGAUUUCUACGACUACAGUCAUCUUUUUAUAAUUAAAAAUAAUAAAUAAAUAAAUAAACGACAUGUGAGUCCUAAUGCUUAUAAAAGUUGAUGGAUUAAUAAUUAUACUACCUAAAUUAUAAAAUAAAAUAAAUGAUAAUAUUCUUAUUUAAAGAUAUUUUAUUGUAAAAGUCUCAUUUUGAAUUAAGAUCCAUUUUAUUCCCUAUGAUUUUGAUCAUUGAUCACUUAAACUUUUACGAUUUAGUCAUGUAUAUAAUAAUCUAUAUAUUUUUAAAAAUGUAACAUAUAAGCUCCUCCCGUUAAGUCUGAGUUAACAAACAUUAAAAUAUACUUACGUGAUAUAUUAACUCAUAAUAAAUUAUUAAUAAAAUAACAUAAAUUAUAUAUAUAUAUAUAUAUAAAGAGAAUUAGUUUUUUUGCUACUGCAACAACUUUUGUUGGAAAAAUAUCUCCAUCAAGCAACUAGAUGCCUUAUCCAUCAACUAGUUCUCAGGCAAGAAAGUACAUAAUAUAAUUCUUGGCUGACAACAAGUCAAGCCUUUGUCAAAAACACAAUAUCUAUGAUGAUCAACAAACAUUAGGGUACAAAUCCUCUAUAUCAUCUGUUGAUCCCAUGACUCAACAAAGAUGAAAAAUUAUCCAGAAAAUUCUAAUUUCUGUCACAAGAUACAAGUGGUGCUUCUGUUUUGUUUGACAGAGUACCUACCUACAAAAGACACUGCGACUAUCAUCAUUUCUCCUAGGCCAAUGAUGCAUCAAAACCUAAACGAAAGCACAAAGCAAAAGAUUAGAACUCAGAGAUAUACGACAUUUACCAGAUAUUAGCAUGCUACAAUACCUCAGGGAAUAUUAUUUUGAUGAAUUUGUCCAGAGACAAUAAUACAUCAAAACCUCAAGAUGAGGAACAUGCCAAAAGAUUAGGACUCGGACAUAUGGCUGAGACUAGCAUGCUAUACUACAACAGAAUAGCAUAAAUAAGAAUCUGGAGAGCUAAGGGCUGGAAUAAAAUUCCAGAUUACAUGCUGCUAUUAGGCAAUAAAUAUAUAGAUGCUCUAUAGCAGCAUUGAAACACAAGUUUGUAACAUAAAAACAACCUGCAUAAUUUGACAUGUUAACUAGACCUUCAGAUCACCUUUGUGUUUUAUAGCUCUUACAGCUUUGACAAUAAUAAAUCUAUAGAUGCUCUAUUGUAGCUCUAUAGUAGCAUUGAACCACAAGUUUGUAACAUAAAACCAACCUGCAUUAUUUGACAUUAAGGAUGCAAAAGAAGCAUACAGUGGCAAGUGCAAGUUGAAAUUGUGGAUUUUCAUAGUACAAAAACCAGUAUAACUACAAAUUCAAAUGCUUAAAAAAUUUUCUAGAUUUUUUCUUUUCUAACUUUCUGUAUUAACUGUCCAUGAAAUUUAUGUAAAAAACAUGGUCUGCAGUACCGGACUGUAUCGCCCGGUACGGGCGGUACGUACCGGUCCGACAGGUUUCCGGUACGCGGACCGCCUGUUACCGGUAUGUAGCACUGUAGCAGUACUACAGUGCUCGGCAUGCCUGAAUAUACCGCUCGGUACAUCUGGGUGUACCGCUCAGUAUACCGUAUCGUACCGGUACCGAGUCCAGGUCGAAACUCCGGUACGGUACGGUAUUGCGGACUUUGAUAAAAAAUAUCUUCAACACUGUAAAUUAGAUACCAAAUCAGCAAAUUUAUGCGGACAAAUAUCGAAGAGACCGAAGAUUAUUCGUGCCAAUUUAGUUAGAAUCUCUCCUGAUAAAAUCUGCUUAAUUUGCCGACAAAUGAUCUAAAUCAGCUAAUCUAAAGUGGUCAUCACUUUUAUUCCUUUUCCCCAGUAAGUCAAAUCUUUCAUUCUUAAGGUAAAAAGGAAACAUGGUUGGCAUCACUUUGGAAGGUCCUCACGAAAACUUUCGCUGCCUAUCCGAUUCCUUGUUUUGUGCCUUGAAGUAGUGGGUCUUUUACGGUUUUGCAGCAACACUGAGAGCUCUUCUUUUCUUUACUGAACAAUGAGCACGAAUCUCUGCCUAUGGCCAAAAUUCCAUUACUGAAUAAUUCUCAUUGCCAACAAUUGAAACAACAUCCCAUCAAGUCUCAUCAUUAUUAAUAUAGUAAACGUCUAACUAUAAUUUUAUUAGAAAAUCAGCUAAGGAUUUCACCUUGACGGAACAGAACACUUCUUCAAUCCUUAGCUCCCAAGCUAUGGACCAUCUGAAAUAUGUAAUUUCAGCUCGAUAGGGAUUAUCUUAGUAGAAACAGGACGUCAAAAAAUCCAAUCAUGUGUCAUGCAAUCAGCUUAUAAGAAUCAUAAUAUGAAAAGGCAAGCAUAAACUAGAAUAGAAGAUCUCAUAAGUUCAUCAUGAGAACAGCACAUCCAGCAAUGCGCUUAGCUGUAACAGAACUUGUCCGACAACUCGGGAUGAAACAAGCUCCUUAUAGAUUAAGAACUCAAUUCAUAUCACAUUCCAAGCUAUUACUUCAUUACACGAAUGGAAUGGUGCACCACUCACAAUGGUAGAAACACGUCUACAAUCUCUUAUCAUCAUGUUGGAAGACUACUAAUCCCAUUCGAAACUGCCUACUAAUGCUGUCAAUCUUGUUCAUCAAACUAAUCAAUUAAGAAAGAGAACAAAAUUUGACAAACAAAAUACACAAAAAGAGGAUGAUACUCAACAUCGUUUCUCUUUUUUGGGUUUUGGAUUUGGAUAGGAGAGUAGCAAAGUUAUAUAAAAGGUGACCGACCCUUACCCUAAAUCAAAAGGUUCAUCCUCCACCUCAAAAUCACCUAAGCGUCCUACCCAGUCAUCCAAAAGAAUCCUACUUCUUAUCAUUUCGAAAAUUAACCAAAACUCAAACCUAAUUACCUAAUAUCCAUAGCCAAAUCAAUUAAAACAUUUAGGGGUCGAACAACCUACAUAAGUUUGAUAUCUUCCAGUAGACUUCAAACGAACAAGACAAGAAUAACAACCACAUCUAUAGAAAGUGAUUCUCAUCAUUCUUCAUUUUCUUGCUGCAUGUGUGCAUCCAAGUUCAUCUAACAUUCACAAAGAACGAAAGUAAAUGGCAGGAAUUAUUUGGUUGCAAACUGCAGAUUAAAGUUGAAUGGCAGGAAUCACACUACAUGGAUGCAAACAGUUAUGCAGAGUGGAAAAUUAGAACCUGGAAACACAACUUGCUGGCACAAUACCUUGCACCAUGCAUUAUGCACUCGCAGGAUCAAAGAGCAGUUCUGUUUUUUGGGGCUUCAUUAUACAAUUCAAUGAGUUCUGGAAACUCAGUGUGGCGGAUGACAAACUUCUCCAGAAAUUUCUUCUCUGGAUAUAACAUGUAUGUGAUCAUUUGGUGGUUACCGAUGUGAACUCCCCUUGACUUCAGGACCGUCAAUAUCCGAUAUCUUGGAAUCAACCUUUUCUCCAAACUCAUCAACAAAAUCCGUGGCCGGGGUGCAAGAUAAGACGGAGCGCAUCUGGUUUCAUUUACCAAGAACUCCAUCUUUCUCUGCAAACUCUUUAAAGAAAAUCCCACAAGACAAGGAGCCUUUCUGAAUGCAGCAAGGAAAUCAUCCUUGGACCACCCGAAACCCUCGAAGAACUCCAAGUGAGCCUUGAAGUUCUUCUCGGAGACGCUUUUGAGCGCAUUCAGGGUGUGGAGGAACAUCCCUGAGGUGCGAGCUACUCCCAAACCCUCGACACGACUGAUUAACGCCUUCAGGGUUUCAGCCUUAAGGGUUCCGAGGAGUGGGCGGUACCGAAGGAUCAUUGAGAGCUUCUGAUCCGUUAUCCCGCAAUCCCUUAGAAUUUCAAUGUUAGGCUGGAUCGUCUUCUCGAUGCUAUACCCGAGAAACCACCUGUGUUUCUUGCAUACCUUCACCAGUAAGUCGUUGGACCCGAGGAGGCCUUGCCAUAAUUGGAUCUUGGACAAGAUGGUCUGGGAUUUGUAGCUGAAGGCGUGGUUAUUCGAUAUGACGAGGUGGGUGAUGUCGGAGCAGGAGAAGCCCAGAUCCUGCAAAGCUCGGAACUUUGGGGCCAGGGUCUUCUCCACGUCGAGGAGAAGCCACCGGGGGUUUGCAGAUAUGACCUUUUUCACCUGGGUGUCGUCAAAACCGUAGCUUUUAAAUAAGCCAAGGACGGAGUCAGGCUGGUGGCGGGAUUCGAUGCGGCCAAGGAGCUUCAAGGCCUUGGCCGCCUCAUCCGGAUCGAAGCCACAGGAGCUGACAAGGUAUUCGGCCAUGAGGUUGCUUUGUGGAGCCCUGGAGGCGGCGGAAUAAGAAUGGGUUGAGAGAAAAACGGCAGCAUCGGCCGGGCGACGGCGAGGGAUGAAGGUGAGGGCUUUGAACAAGAGAGAGACGUACAGCGACCUAUUCAUCAACGUCAUCGUCGUCUACUUCUCCUUCUUUGUAUGUUCCUUCUCUUCACCAAGACCUAGCGAUGGUGGUGUUGCUGCGUCUGAAGGAAACUGGCCGGAAGUACCUGCUUCCAAAACCCUAGAAGUGCGUCACUGUGUCCGAGGAACUCUUUUGUUCGGUCGGAGAUUUCUGCGACCGCAUGCUAUUUUUUUUUUCUUCGGCUACUUUUAUCGUGUGCCAACGUAAAAAAAAAAUAAAUAAAUGAACGAAUCCGAUCUACAUAAUCCUACUUAACCAUAUUUAGUUUAAUAUAACCCUAAUUUACCUCUUAUUCUUCGCAAAGUUACCUCAUAAUAAAACGAGAUAUGCUUCAUUGAUAAAGCAGAAGUUUUUAUUAUUGCAUUAGCUAAAUUCAAAGCAUUCCAAAUUGCUUUUGCAUAUUGUUCCACUAUAUAAACAUCAUAAAGCUGAAAUACUGAUCACCUGAAAUAUGUAAUUUUCAGAUCGAUAGGAUUAUCUUAGUAGAAAUAAGAUGUCAAGAAAUCUAAUUGUCUCAUGCAAUCAGCUAAAGAUAAGAAUAAUAAUGAAAAAAGAGCAUAAAUUAGAAUAAAAGAUCUCACAAAUUCAUCAUGUGAAAAGCACAUCCAUCGGUGCACUUUGCGGCAUCAAAACUCGUCUGACUGCUCAGGAUGAAGAAACCUCCUUACAGACUAAAUUCAUAUCACAUUCCCUGCUAUUAGUCCAUUACUAGGAUCAAGUGGUGCCCGGCAACAGUAGAAAUACGUCUUUCUAUAGACGCAAGGAAUAUCUUAUAAGCUUGUUUGAUGACUACUAAUCCCUUUCAAAAUUGCCUACUAAUAAUGACAAUGUUGUUCAAUCAUCCAUAUAUGUAUACAUCAACAUGCUGCACAACCAUGCAACAACAUCCUUUCACAUGCUCAAGCGUCCAACUUAUGCAUCAUGACACUUCUAACAAAUAUUAAUAUGCGUCAAUUAUAGGCUACAAUAGACGCAUCAAUAUAAAAUUGAUUGCCAAAAGAAAUAUGGUUACCAUACCAUCCAAAAGAAUCCUACUUCUUAUCAUUUGAAAAAAUAACCAAAACUCGAAACCUAAAUUACCAAAUAUCCAUAGUCAAAUCAAUUCAAAACUUCAGGUGUCCAAUAACCUACAUAAGUCUGAUAUCUUCCAGUAGACUUAAAACGAAUGGGACAAGAAUAACAAUUCCAUGUGGCCUCUACACAAAUGAUUAUCAACAAGCAAUUAACUCUAUCGGCAAUAUCAUCACAAAUCUUCUCAACAUUCUUCAUUUUCUUACUACAUGUAAGCAUCCAAACUCAUCUUACAUUCACAGAAAACGAAGUAAAUGGCAGGAAUUAUUUGGUUGCAAACUGUAGAUCAUGUUAUGCGGAUAGUGGAAAAUUGGAACCUGAAAACAUAACUUGCUGGCACAAAAGCUUGUGCUAUGCAUUAUGCAUUUCCACGAUCAAAUGCAGUUCUGUUUUUGGGGACUCCAUUAUACAACUCAAUGAGUUCUGGAUACUCCUUGUAGCAGUUGACGAACUUCUCCAGAAAUUGUUUCUCUGUAUAUUUCAUGUAUGUCAAUAUACUAAGGUUACUGAUGCAAACUCCCCUAGACUUCAGGCCUGUCACAAUCCGAUGCCUUGGCAUCAACUUUUUCUCCAAACUCAUCAACAAAAAAUCUGGCCGAAGUGCAAGAUAAGAUGGAGCACAUCCAGCUUCANNNNNNNNNNNNNNNNNNNNUUCGAUCUGACGAGGUGGGUGAUGUCGGAGCAGGAGAAGCCCAGAUCCUGCAAAGCUCGGAACUUUGGGGCCAGGGUCUUCUCCACGUCGAGGAGAAGCCACCGGGGGUUUGCAGAUAUGACCUUUUUCACCUGGGUGUUGUCAAAACCGUAGCUUUUAAAUAAGCCAAGGACGGAGUCAGGCUGGUGGCGGGAUUCGACGCGGCCAAGGAGCUUCGAGGCUUUGGCCGCCUGAUCAGGAUGGAAGCCACAGGAGCUGACCAGGUAUUCAGCCAUAAGGCUGCUCUCUGGAGCACCGGAGGCGGCGGAAUAAGAAUGGGUUGCGAGAAAAAGGGCAGCAUUGGCCGGACGACAGCAAGGGACGAAGGCAAGGGCUUUGGACAAGAGAGAGACGUAGGGCGACCUAUUCAUCAUUGUCAUCGUCUUCUUCUUCUUUGUAGGUUCCUUCUCUUUACCAAAACCAAGC
rnacentral:lncRNA from 1 species